UACAGGGGAUGCAAGUGUUAUCCGGAAUUAUUGGGCGUAAAGCGUCUGUAGGUGGUGAGGAAAGUGUUUUGUUAAAGAUCAGGGCUCAACUCUGGGAAAGCAGAGCAAACUAUCUCACUUGAGUUCGGUAGGGGCAGAGAGAAUUCCCAGUGUAGCGGUGAAAUGCGUAGAUAUUGGGAGGAAGACCAGUGGCGAAGGCGUUCUGCUGGGCCGUAACUGACACUGAGAGACGAAAGCUAAGGUAGCAAAUAGGAUUAGAUACCCUAGUAGUCUUAGCUGUAAACGAUGCACACUAUGUUUUGCUCCAGAGCAAUAGCUAACGCGUUAAGUGUGCCGCCUGGGGAGUACAUUCGCAAGGAUG
rnacentral:rRNA from 1 species